CCUACGGGAGGCAGCAGUGAGGAAUUUUGCGCAAUGGGGGCAACCCCUGACGCAGCGACGCCGCGUGGAGGACGAAGUCUUUCGGGAUGUAAACUCCUGUCAGUGGGGACGAUAAUGACGGUACCCACAGAGGAAGCACCGGCUAACUCCGUGCCAGCAGCCGCGGUAAU
rnacentral:rRNA from 1 species